UGUGGGAGCUGGCUUGCCUGCGAUAGCGGUGGGUCAGCUACCUAUAUAUCAACUGACAGACCGCCAUCGCAGGCAAGCCAGCUCCCACA
rnacentral:misc_RNA from 1 species